rnacentral:rRNA from 1 species
UAGGGAAUCCUCCGCAAUGGGCGAAAGCCUGACGGAGCAACGCCGCGUGAGUGAUGAAGGUCUUCGGAUCGUAAAACUCUGUUAUCAGGGAAGAACAAAUGUGUAAGUAACUGUGCACAUCUUGACGGUACCUGAUCAGAAAGCCACGGCUAACUACGUGCCAGCAGCCGCGGUAAUACGUAGGUGGCAAGCGUUAUCCGGAAUUAUUGGGCGUAAAGCGCGCGUAGGCGGUUUUUUAAGUCUGAUGUGAAAGCCCACGGCUCAACCGUGGAGGGUCAUUGGAAACUGGAAAACUUGAGUGCAGAAGAGGAAAGUGGAAUUCCAUGUGUAGCGGUGAAAUGCGCAGAGAUAUGGAGGAACACCAGUGGCGAAGGCGACUUUCUGGUCUGUAACUGACGCUGAUGUGCGAAAGCGUGGGGAUCAAACAGGAUUAGAUACCCUGGUAGUCCACGCCGUAAACGAUGAGUGCUAAGUGUUAGGGGGUUUCCGCCCCUUAGUGCUGCAGCUAACGCAUUAAGCACUCCGCCUGGGGAGUACGACCGCAAGGUUG